UACGUAGGGGGCGAGCGUUGUCCGGAGUACUGGGCGUAAAGCGCACGCAGGCGGUCUGUUAAGUUUGGAGUGACAGUUGGUGGCUCAACCACCAAAGUGCUUUGAAAACUGAUAGACUUGAGGGCUUCAGAGGGACACGGAAUUCCGGGUGGAGUGGUGAAAUGCGUAGAGAUCCGGGAGGAACACCAAAGGAGCGAAGGCUGAGUGUCCUGGGGAGU
rnacentral:rRNA from 1 species